rnacentral:rRNA from 1 species
AGUGAACGCUGGCGGUAGGCCUAACACAUGCAAGUCGAACGGCAGCACAGUAAGAGCUUGCUCUUACGGGUGGCGAGUGGCGGACGGGAGAGGAAUACAUCGGAAUCUACUUUUUCGUGGGGGAUAACGUAGGGAAACUUACGCUAAUACCGCAUACGACCUACGGGUGAAAGCAGGGGAUCUUCGGACCUUGCGCGAUUGAAUGAGCCGAUGUCGGAUUAGCUAGUUGGCGGGGUAAAGGCCCACCAAGGCGACGAUCCGUAGCUGGUCUGAGAGGAUGAUCAGCCACACUGGAACUGAGACACGGUCCAGACUCCUACGGGAGGCAGCAGUGGGGAAUAUUGGACAAUGGGCGCAAGCCUGAUCCAGCCAUACCGCGUGGGUGAAGAAGGCCUUCGGGUUGUAAAGCCCUUUUGUUGGGAAAGAAAAUCAGCAGGUUAAUACCCCGCUGUUCUGACGGUACCCAAAGAAUAAGCACCGGCUAACUUCGUG